rfam:Callithrix jacchus chromosome 11, whole genome shotgun sequence
GCUGGGCAUGGUAGUGCAUGCCUGUAAUCCCAGCUACCCGGGAAGCUGAGGUAGGAGAAUUGCUCGAACCUGGGAGGCAGAGGUUGCAGUGAGCUGAGAUCGUGCCACUGCACUCCAGCCUGGGCAACAGAGCAAGACUCUGUCUCAA